UCUUGAUGCCAGGACCUACUGAGUGCUC
rnacentral:piRNA from 1 species